rnacentral:rRNA from 1 species
CGGGACGGGGUGGAGUAAUGUCUGGGGAACUGCCUGAUGGAGGGGGGUAACUACUGGAAACGGUAGCUAAUACCGCAUAACGUCGCAAGACCAAAGAGGGGGACCUUCGGGCCUCUUGCCAUCGGAUGUGCCCAGAUGGGAUUAGCUAGUAGGUGGGGUAACGGCUCACCUAGGCGACGAUCCCUAGCUGGUCUGAGAGGAUGACCAGCCACACUGGAACUGAGACACGGUCCAG